rnacentral:rRNA from 1 species
CACAGAGUUUGAUCCUGGCUCAGGACGAACGCUGGCGGCGUGCUUAACACAUGCAAGUCGAACGAAGAGCGAUGGAAGCUUGCUUCUAUCAAUCUUAGUGGCGAACGGGUGAGUAACGCGUAAUCAACCUGCCCUUCAGAGGGGGACAACAGUUGGAAACGACUGCUAAUACCGCAUACGAUCCAACCUCGGCAUCGAGGAUGGAUGAAAGGUGGCCUCUAUUUAUAAGCUAUCACUGAAGGAGGGGAUUGCGUCUGAUUAGCUAGUUGGAGGGGUAACGGCCCACCAAGGCAAUGAUCAGUAGCCGGUCUGAGAGGAUGAACGGCCACAUUGGGACUGAGACACGGCCCAGACUCCUACGGGAGGCAGCAGUGGGGAAUCUUCCGCAAUGGACGAAAGUCUGACGGAGCAACGCCGCGUGAGUGAUGACGGCCUUCGGGUUGUAAAGCUCUGUUAAUCGGGACGAAUUGUCCUCUUGCGAAUGGUGA